GACAGACGAGGAGCUUGCUCCUCUGACGUUAGCGGCGGACGGGUGAGUAACACGUGGAUAACCUACCUAUAAGACUGGGAUAACUUCGGGAAACCGGAGCUAAUACCGGAUAAUAUAUUGAACCGCAUGGUUCAAUAGUGAAAGACGGUUUUGCUGUCACUUAUAGAUGGAUCCGCGCCGCAUUAGCUAGUUGGUAAGGUAACGGCUUACCAAGGCAACGAUGCGUAGCCGACCUGAGAGGGUGAUCGGCCACACUGGAACUGAGACACGGUCCAGACUCCUACGGGAGGCAGCAGUAGGGAAUCUUCCGCAAUGGGCGAAAGCCUGACGGAGCAACGCCGCGUGAGUGAUGAAGGUCUUCGGAUCGU
rnacentral:rRNA from 1 species